rnacentral:tRNA from 1 species
GGGCGGAUUCAGACGUUAGCGCCCGACUUGGAGUAGCUGACUCUUAAUCAGCGGGUCCUAGGUUCGAGCCCUAGUGCGUCCACCA